GCGAGCUGAACCGAGCCUGUAGUGAUGUUCAGCUUCUAUCUACAGUCUCCUUCAGCUCCCAGUCUGAGUCAGUGGACAUUAUCCAAGAUGUCCUCGGCAUGGUCAGUGGUCCAGAGAGUCGGCUCUGCUGCUUGGAGACCACAGAGAGCCAGUGCUUGAAUAUGGAGGAAUCCUCUCAUGUUCAUGACACUGAGGAGCAUCUCCCUGACAUUCAGGUCGAUGAGCCGUCCCUUCAGCUGCCUUUGGACACAUUGCAAUGUGAGCCUUCAGCUGAUGCUCUG